GGCAAAGGUGGCCCGGAGAGGUCAACGCCACAGCUGGUUGAACCACAAGGGUGAGAGGACGGUCGGGGUCAGAGACAGAAGACAGAUCUUCGUUCUCUUUACGUCCAUCUCUGAUCCCAGAACAUAUCACUGAUGAGACGGAUGUGUCCGUGUGCCGAAGCAGUUUUGAAGGCCUCUUGCCUGAUGCAGAGCAGACUGGAGACUUGGCUUUUCUGUUUACGUCAGCAGCUGGUGUAACACAACCGAGGAACCAGC
rnacentral:lncRNA from 1 species